AGAGUUUGAUCCUGGCUCAGGGUAAACGCUGGCGGCGUGCCUAAAACAUGCAAGUCGCACGCAACCUUCGGGUUGAGUGGCAGACGGCUGAGUAACGCGUGGGUGACAUACCCAUUGGUGGGGAAUAACUGCCCGAAAGGGUGGCUAAUACCGCAUACGUCUAGAGCUUCGUGGUUCUAGGGAAAGCAGUGAUGUGCCGAUGGAGUGGCCCGCGUCCGAUUAGCCAGUUGGUGGGGUAACGGCCUACCAAAGCGACGAUCGGUAGCUGGUCUCAGAGGAUGAUCAGCCAGACUGGGACUGAGACACGGCCCAGACUCCUACGGGAGGCAGCAGUUAGGAAUUUUGGGCAAUGGGCGCAAGCCUGACCCAGCAACGCCGCGUGGGUGACGAAGGCCUUCGGGUUGUAAAGCCCUUUUGGAAGGGAAGAUGAUGACGGUACCUUUCGAAGAAGCACCGGCUAACUACGUGCCAGCAGCCGCGGUAAUACGUAGGGUGCAAGCGUUGCCCGGAUUUAUUGGGCGUAAAGGGCGCGUAGGCGGCUCUGCACGUCCGUUGUGAAAUCGCCCGGCUCAACUGGGCGGGGUCAGCGGAUACGGCGGAGCUUGAGCAAGCUAGGGGGCAAUGGAAUUCCCGGUGUAGUGGUGGAAUGCGUAGAUAUCGGGAGGAACACCAGUGGCGAAGGCGGUUGCCUGGGGCUUUGCUGACGCUGAGGCGCGAAAGCGUGGGGAGCGAUCCGGAUUAGAUACCCGGGUAGUCC
rnacentral:rRNA from 1 species